GAAGCAGUUAGUUCGGUACUUGUCCAGAAAGAUGAAAACCAAAUCCAUCGAUUAAUCUACUACAUUAGUAAAGUGCUUCACAAUACCGAAGUAAGAGAUACUCAAGAGCAAAGAAAAUGAUCUACGCUCUAGUCAUAUCGGCACAACAACUUCGUCCGUACUUUCAAGCACAUCCGAUUAUAGUCUUGACAGAUCAACCGCUGAAGGCGAUCUUACAUCGACCUGAUAUGUCAGGUCGGAUGGUGAAAUGGGCAGUAAAGCUUGACGAAUUUGAUAUACAAUAUUGUCCAUGACCGUCCAUGA
rnacentral:lncRNA from 1 species